GCCAACCAUCUCAACCUACUCUCUCUCUCAUUUUGGUUCUCAACCUUAAUUGUUUCCAACCAAGUUCUUUAGGUCUAUCUCUUGAUCUUUUUGCCCCAUUAACUAUAUAAUAUUAUCACUUUACUUAAUCAAUACUCUGAAAGGUCUCCGUUGUAACAUGGCCAACCAUCUAAACCUACUCUCUCUCAUUUUUAUUCUCAAUAUGAGCAACCAUUAAUCUCACUCAUUUAUUAUCCUAUCUUUUAGCAUAUAUCCACAAGAUCAUCAUAGCGUUCUCAUUGCUGCCACUCAUUUUCUGCCCAUGUUGAUUUUUGAGUGCCCAGCAUUCUGUUGUCAUAUCAUAUCAGCCUCAACCUUCUAAUCAGAGUUUGACGUAUUAGCUGCAUAUGGAUUUUUUAACAAUUCGUUUCAGAUGUAGCCAAAACCUGCAGACCCUGUCCAUAUUGGCUAAUAAUGAUUAAUGCAUGAAGAAAUUUGAGGUUUGAAGUAUCAAAGUUUGAUUUUGAGAUUAAAAAAAAUAAAUUAGAGACAACGAAGCUUGUGAUUAAACUAACUUAUUCCGUGUACAAUGAUUCUAAUGCAAGAUUUCCACCAAAACUCCCAAAUUAGAUGCCAAAAAUGCAAAACAGGACCACAACAACAUCUAGAUUCCAAACCUUGCUUCUAAAACUGCGAAAACAUCUCGCGAACUGCAGGAGAGUUCAAAGUUGUGAGGUUUUUACUUUACCCUUUAUAGCCAUUGGCUCAUUUUCGUUGUGUUAUUGUUAAGCAUUAACAAAUAUUUAUAGACUUUGAGGUGCAAGAUUUUGUGCAGCCAGUUGGAAUCAAAUUUAAAUGCAUUAGUAUUAUCUCUUCAAUUGAAACCUCUGGAAUAGAACCACUAGUCUUGUUACUCCCAAAAAAGAACCACAGAUCUUUCUUGCUUCUAAUAGCUGUCACACUUAAGCUCCUGAACUUUGUGCCUAUUUAACUAGCGCUAAGCAUGGUUCUUUUCUUCAUGAGAUUUCUCAUUUACAGGUGUCUCAAUCUAAAAUCAUCUCUCCAUCCUUUUGUCCAUGUGUGUUUUAGGGCUUUAUUUCAACAUUUUCCCAGUUCAAAGCUUUCCGGUCUUGUAUUUACCUUUCCUUUAACCUGCUAGGAUUUGUCAUAGCGGGCAGCAUAGUAUAAAAGCGAAAAUGAUUAGAUUGAAGUUUCCAAACAAAGAGAGACAAUCUGGAAUCCACCAAAAGGCUUGAAUCCACAAGGCAACUUGCAUCCACCAAAGGGCUCCAAGUUCUUGAAAUGUGUGAAAGGUUCUGAAUAAUAUGGGAGAAAUACUGAAAGCUGGUGGUGCCAGCUAUUUGUUGGUUGUUAAGACGACCAUCAUGUUGGUGGUGACCUAAAGGAUUUCAAGAAAGUGAAUGAGAUUUAUGGGAAAUGUGAGUUUCGCGGAGUAAAAUAGUUUCUAUUUGGCCUUAACUAAAUGGUUCAUUGUUUGUAGGGUUGCUUACUGAAACUAAAUGUUUUUGUAACCAACUGUUUUCUAUAAAAAAGUGUUUCUUUUCUACCCCCGAAGAAGGAAGUUUGACGUCUAUUUUUUAUCACUCCAACUGGCUUAGAUGCUUUUUCAUCUCAUAAUUUAUCCUUAUUGUGAAAGAACUGUCAGUAGAUGCUCUUUGCAAACUGUUUUCUGUUUUAUUUUGUAAUUUAUACGUUCUUUUAAUGCACAUCAAUUCUUUCAUAAA